rnacentral:lncRNA from 1 species
AUGCAUGAGAAAGUACUGCAGUAAAUAUUUCACUUUGCUUAUUGUUCAUGUACAGUUCAUCUUUUUCUAUUUGUAGAAGAAUUUAAUGCAAUUUUGUUGUCAUCUGCUGAAACUGAAGAAUUCUAAUUUCAUGUGGUCUUAUGGAUAAGGUAAAAUGCAGCUUUCUUUCUUUGUGUUUUUGCCCCCACCCCACUUCUCCAGCAGUAUUAAAUGGCUGAGUGGCUGCACUUUAUCAGUGUGCUAACUGUGGGUCAGUGUAGACCUUCCUGUGUCCAGUGUGCCCUGCCAGGCGUGGAGAAACGUGCUGUCCCUUGGCAUGGGGGCAGCUCUCCAGGACUGGGGUAUCGCAGCUGGGUAUGACAGGCUUUUCUAAUAUCACCAGGAUUGUUCUGUGCAGUCUCUGUUGCUACUUUGCUCCAGACUAUAUAAUCUUAAGUUUUGAAGGACUCUUAACUAUACCUCAGUCAACUAGUCAGUACUCUAAUGCCCAUUAGAAUGAAAGUCAUAUAAUUAUUACUCAUUAAGCAGCAAAUGUAUUUCUGUUUUGUUGCAGAAAUUGCCAUUAACCUUUCAGGAAAGCAGACAUUGUUUGGUGGAUUUCAGUAAAACAAAAAUGCUGCUUGUGCUUUGGAGUUUUAGGAAAUCUUUCCCUCAGCCCCAUGUCUGUGCACUAUAUCUUUGACCAACAUUUUUCUAAAUGGUUUUAAAAAAAAGCCAAAUGCAAACCAAACUGGUCUCAGUGCUUUGCAAUUUUAGCUUUUGGUCUGUGCUCAGCAAAACAUGCACAAGAGGUUUUUGUUGAGUGUAUAUAGAAUAUUUUAUGUACUUCUUGUCUGGGAGUUCUAUUACUGCUAAAGCUUAAACCACUCAUGAAACUUAAUGCCGCUCACUUUUCUGUUUGGGGGACAGUCUUAAAAGUGCUGAGUGACCUUUCAGACCUGUAGUUCUUUUUCCAGAAAGUAUUUCCCACUGUAAAAGUACCUUUCCCAUACUGGUCUGCUGAAGUCAAGUGAAUUUCGUGGAUCAUUCUCACGAGUGAAUAAAGGAGUCUUGAAUGUACA